rfam:Sorghum bicolor cultivar BTx623 chromosome 4, whole genome shotgun sequence.
GUAGUCGUAUUCACAUCAAUCCACAUGUGUUGAAGUGGAUUGGAGUGGAACUUGAACUAAAUUCCACCUCAAUCUACACCAACACACAUGGAUUAAAGUGAAUCCAAUA